rnacentral:rRNA from 1 species
CCUACGGGGGGCAGCAGUGAGGAAUAUUGGUCAAUGGACGAGAGUCUGAACCAGCCAAGUAGCGUGAAGGAUGACUGCCCUAUGGGUUGUAAACUUCUUUUAUAUGGGAAUAAAACGUUCCACGUGUGGGAUUUUGUAUGUACCAUAUGAAUAAGGAUCGGCUAACUCCGUGCCAGCAGCCGCGGUAAUACGGAUGAUCCGAGCGUUAUCCGGAUUUAUUGGGUUUAAAGGGAGCGUAGGUGGAUUGUUAAGUCAGUUGUGAAAGUUUGCGGCUCAACCGUAAAAUUGCAGUUGAAAAUGGCAGUCUUGAGUACAGUAGAGGUGGGCGGAAUUCGUGGUGUAGCGGUGAAAUGCUUAGAUAUCACGAAGAACUCCGAUUGCGAAGGCAGUUCACUGGACUGCAACUGACACUGAGGCUCGAAAGUGUGGGUAUCAAACAGGAUUAGAUACCCCGGUAGUC